CCUACGGGGGACAGCAGUAGGGAAUUUUCGUCAAUGGGCGCAAGCCUGAACGAGCAAUGCCGCGUGAACGAGGAAGGUCUUCGGAUCGUAAAGUUCUGUUGAAGGGGAAAAAGAGCGGAGAGAGGAAAUGCUUUCGGAUUGAUAUUACCCUUCGAGGAAGUCACGGCUAACUACGUGCCAGCAGCCGCGGUAAUACGUAGGUGGCGAGCGUUAUCCGGAAUGAUUGGGCGUAAAGGGUGCGUAGGCGGCCUGCUAAGUCUGGAGUGACAGGUACCGGCUCAACCGGUACAGGCUCUGGAAACUGGCGGGCUGGAGAGCAGGAGAGGGCGGUGGAACUCCAUGUGUAGCGGUAAAAUGCGUAGAUAUAUGGAAGAACACCAGUGGCGAAGGCGGCCGCCUGGCCUGUGACUGACGCUGAGGCACGAAAGCGUGGGGAGCAAAUAGGAUUAGAUACCCGGGUAGUC
rnacentral:rRNA from 1 species